rnacentral:rRNA from 1 species
AUGGCCGCCACCGCCGCAUGCCGGAGCAUGGAGAGGAGAUGGAGUCUUGCCGGAUCCACGGCGCUCGUUACCGGCGGCAGCAAAGGGAUCGGGUACAUACUUCACUCUGAGUCAGUACCAUCUAUGCUAUUACAUGGGUGUUUAUACGUUACAGAAUUAACGCGCUAUAUGUACUUGCAUGGUGCGGCAUGGAUCAACAGGCAUGCGAUCGUGGAGGAGCUAGCGGGGCUCGGGGCUCGGGUGCACACGUGCUCCCGGAACGCGGCGGAGCUGGACGAGUGCCGGCGGCAGUGGGAGGACAAGAACCUCCGCGUCACCGUCUCCGUCUGCGACGUGUCCGUGCGUGCCGAGAGGGAGAAGCUCAUGAACACGGUGAGGCAAACCCUGGGCGGUAAGCUGGACAUCCUGGUGAACAACGCGGGGCAAUCCAUGGUGAAGGCGGCGACGGAGUGCACCGGCGAGGACUACGCGCUGGUGAUGGCCACCAACAUCGAGUCGUGCUUCCACCUCGCGCAGCUCGCGCACCCGCUCCUCCUCCGCUCGGGUGGAGGGGCGAGCAGCAUCGUCCACGUCUCCUCCAUCGCCGGCUUCGUCGGCUUCCCGGGCCUCGCCGUCUACUCGAUGACCAAGGGGGCGAUGAACCAGCUCACCCGGAGCCUUGCCGCCGAGUGGGCCGGCGACGGCAUACGCGUCAACUGCGUCGCGCCGGGCGGCAUCAACACUGACAUCGCCAAAGACAUGAUAACGAGGGACCCGGAGAUUGUGAAGCGCCAGGCCACGCAGCUGCCGAUGCAGCGGCUGGGCGAGACGGAGGAGGUGGCAUCGGUGGUGGCCUUCCUCUGCAUGCCAGCGGCGUCCUACAUCACCGGCCAAGUAAUCUGCGUCGACGGCGGACGCACCAUAGCAUAA